AUUAUCAUUCUAAAGAGUUUUCUUUAGAGUUGGAUUUGGAUGUUGCCUUUCUAGGCUCAUCUUAAAUGACUUAGUGGACCUUGCAUGGGUUUAGAACGUAAUAAGUUUCGUUUUAAUCACAAGUAAGCCUGCUUAUAACAAACAAUUCAUUUUAAG
rnacentral:misc_RNA from 1 species